AUUGAACGCUGGCGGCAUGCCUUACACAUGCAAGUCGAACGGCAGCGGGGGAGAAGCUUGCUUUUCCUGCCGGCGAGUGGCGAACGGGUGAGUAAUACAUCGGAACGUGCCCUGUAGUGGGGGAUAACUAGUCGAAAGAUUAGCUAAUACCGCAUACGACCUGAGGGUGAAAGUGGGGGACCGCAAGGCCUCAUGCUAUAGGAGCGGCCGAUGUCUGAUUAGCUAGUUGGUGGGGUAAAGGCCUACCAAGGCGACGAUCAGUUGCUGGUCUGAGAGGACGAUCAGCCACACUGGGACUGGUACACGGCCCAGACUCCUGCGGGAGGCAUCAGUGGGGAAUUUUGGACAAUGGGCGAAAGCCUGAUCCAGCAAUGCCGCGUGUGUGAAGAAGGCCUUCGGGUUGUAAAGCACUUUUGUCCGGAAAGAAAUGGCUCUGGUUAAUACCUGGGGUCGUUGACGGUACCGGAAGAAUAAGGACCGGCUAACUACGUGCCAGCCGCCGCAGUAA
rnacentral:rRNA from 1 species